rnacentral:tRNA from 1 species
GCCUGGCUGGCUCAGUGGUGGAGCAUACGACUCUUGAUUGAUCUUGGGGUUUUGAGUUCAAGCCUCAUGUCGGGUG